rnacentral:rRNA from 1 species
UGCAGUCGAGCGAAUGGAUUAAGAGCUUGCUCUUAUGAAGUUAGCGGCGGACGGGUGAGUAACACGUGGGUAACCUGCCCAUAAGACUGGGAUAACUCCGGGAAACCGGGGCUAAUACCGGAUAACAUUUUGAACCGCAUGGUUCGAAAUUGAAAGGCGGCUUCGGCUGUCACUUAUGGAUGGACCCGCGUCGCAUUAGCUAGUUGGUGAGGUAACGGCUCACCAAGGCAACGAUGCGUAGCCGACCUGAGAGGGUGAUCGGCCACACUGGGACUGAGACACGGCCCAGACUCCUACGGGAGGCAGCAGUAGGGAAUCUUCCGCAAUGGACGAAAGUCUGACGGAGCAACGCCGCGUGAGUGAUGAAGGCUUUCGGGUCGUAAAACUCUGUUGUUAGGGAAGAACAAGUGCUAGUUGAAUAAGCUGGCACCUUGACGGUACCUAACCAGAAAGCCACGGCUAACUACGUGCCAGCAGCCGCGGUAAUACGUAGGUGGCAAGCGUUAUCCGGAAUUAUUGGGCGUAAAGCGCGCGCAGGUGGUUUCUUAAGUCUGAUGUGAAAGCCCACGGCUCAACCGUGGAGGGUCAUUGGAAACUGGGAGACUUGAGUGCAGAAGAGGAAAGUGGAAUUCCAUGUGUAGCGGUGAAAUGCGUAGAGAUAUGGAGGAACACCAGUGGCGAAGGCGACUUUCUGGUCUGUAACUGACACUGAGGCGCGAAAGCGUGGGGGAGCAAACAGGAUUAGAUACCCUGGUAGUCCACGCCGUAAACGAUGAGUGCUAAGUGUUAGAGGGUUUCCGCC